rnacentral:rRNA from 1 species
CACGUAGGGCGCAAGCGUUUGUCCGGAAUUAUUGGGCGUAAAGAGCUCGUAGGCGGUCUGUUGCGUCUGCUGUGAAAACUCGGGGCUUAACCCCGAGCCUGCAGUGGAUACGGGCAGACUAGAGGUAGGUAGGGGAGAAUGGAAUUCCCGGUGUAGCGGUGAAAUGCGCAGAUAUCGGGAGGAACACCGGUGGCGAAGGCGGUUCUCUGGGAAUAUCCUGACGCUGAGGAGCGAAAGUGUGGGGAGCGAACAGG